rnacentral:rRNA from 1 species
CUACGGGACGCAGCAGUGGGGAAUAUUGCACAAUGGAGGAAACUCUGAUGCAGCAACGCCGCGUGGAGGAUGACACUUUUCGGAGCGUAAACUCCUUUUAUAUAGGAAGAUAAUGACGGUACUAUAUGAAUAAGCACCGGCUAACUCCGUGCCAGCAGCCGCGGUGAAUACGGAGGGUGCAAGCGUUACUCGGAAUCACUGGGCGUAAAGAGCGUGUAGGCGGAUAGAUAAGUCAGGAGUGAAAUCCUAUGGCUCAACCAUAGAACUGCUCUUGAAACUGUCUAUCUAGAAUAUGGGAGAGGUAGAUGGAAUUUCUGGUGUAGGGGUAAAAUCCGUAGAGAUCAGAAGGAAUACCGAUUGCGAAGGCGAUCUACUGGAACAUUAUUGACGCUGAGACGCGAAAGCGUGGGGAGCAAACAGGAUUAGAUACCCCUGUAGUC